CGCAGGGUGGGAAAGCGGUCACUGCGCCGUUCGCCUGCGGCUCACCAUACCCAGGAUGUCGCCGGUUCGAAUCCGGCCCCUGCAACCA
rnacentral:tRNA from 1 species